rnacentral:misc_RNA from 1 species
GAUGAAGAACGUAGCGAAAUGCGAUAAGUAGUGUGAAUUGCAGAAUUCAGUGAAUCAUCGAAUCUUUGAACGCACAUUGCGCCUGCCAGCACUCUGGCAGGCAUGCCUGUUCGAGCGUCAUUUCAACCAUCAAGCCCUAGGCUUGCGUUGGAGCCCUGCGGCUGCCGCAGGCCCCUAAAAGCAGUGGCGGGCUCGCUAUCACACCGAGUGCAGUAGAUUACUCUUCGCUCAGGGCGUGUGGCGGGUUCCAGCCGUGAAACCCCCUACUUCUCAAGGUUGACCUCGGAUCAGGUAGGAAUACCCGCUGAACUUAAGCAUAUCAAUAAGCGGAGGA